UCCCCGUACCCUUGCAGAGAUGGAACCUAGGCUCGGUUGUGAAUUUUCAUUGCAAACCGAUGGUGCCAAUAAUAGACAACCAGAAAUCAAUCUCCCUCCAGUCGUCCAGGAUAGCUUCAGCACACCCAAGAAAGGAGCUAGCAGCGGGCCUUUUUGUGGUUCAUCAUGUACACCGGAAUGUGAUGAAAAUCUAAAGCCGGCUGUAGGCAUGACAUUCAAGAACAUGGAAGCCGUCGAAGAGUUCUACAAGGCUUAUGCACACAACGUUGGCUUUUCAGUUCGAAUCGGUCAGAAGAGGACUGUAGAUAAUUUGGUGGUCUGGAGACGAUUUUUGUGUGCCAAAGCAGGUUUCAGAUCCAAGGCAGAGGAAGAAAAGAAGGUUG